AGCUUAAAUCAUUGCUCUAUGACACAAAACCAGCUGCUGGCAUCUUUUUUUCCUCUUUUAUUCUGCAGCAUGUCUAGCUGCAUGAGGCAUCUUCUACCUCUCCUAGCACAAACAGUAUGCAAUUGGCCAAAGCAAACGUAUGCUGUCUUUGCUGGGGAGCAGGACAGGGUACCUGAAGCUGACUACAUAGCCUAUACAAUGAAUAGUGAUUUAUAAUGGACUCUCUUGCACCUUUGAUUUAGAAAGGAAAAAUAACCCCAGAAGUUCUACUAACAGCUGGAGAAGGCAGUGAAUCUGCUCAAUCACAUCUGCAUGAGCAGUGUGGGUGAUGUGGGGGGUGCUGUUUCCUACCAGCACAGUUGCACUGGGUAUGGUUUGAAUGUUUGUGGUGAUAACCAUCAGGCCUUUUCUGCAGUGGCUGUUGCAAGCUGGGAGGCAAUAGACUGGGCAGCUGUGGUGCUAACCAACUGUCCAGGAGGUGCUGGUGCACCUAUGAACUUGUGACUUAGAGUAUCACCCCACUGCCCUUCCUGGAUGUAACCUACGUAUGUAACACAAGGGCCUGCAUCGCUUAUGAAGUGGGCCUGCACUUCGUGGUCAGAUUUAGUCUUAAGCUUCACAUAGUUAAGGCAUUUAGGGAACAGAAAAGUCAUUACAGGAAGAGAGAAAAAUUGGAGGAUUCUGAAUCCAGAAUAGGAAUAUUGGAUUACAAAACAAGUCAAUCUUGUGGUUGCCUAAAGCCUGCAGAAAAAGCUUACUGCCAGAUAUAUGUAACUCCAGUUGAAGUGAACCAGCAACAAGCUGCUGUCAGUUAUUGGGAGCAGGAUGAAUUUGGUGAAAACUGGAAUUAAGGUGUUUAUUUUGUGGUUUGGUGUGGGAUUUCUUUUCUUCCACUGCUCUCUGGGCUACCUUCUCUAGGGGAAUGGCACAUACACAGCUGCUUCAUUUGCCAAAUGCGCAUCUCUUGUCCCUAAUGCACACGGAGCAACUGGCAAGAACCUGUGGAUGCUUAGUGGCAAGAAAUGAAGGCAUUUCAUCCAGAAGCAAAACAUCUGUGAGGGCCAAAGCUGGAAAAGGAAAAUCUUGCGCUUAGAAGCUGCUGCCCUUUUGACUCUGCCUUGUUUGUGUUAAUGUAUGGGUGGAGAAAAUGAUGCAACUAUUUUUUAUUUUUUUUUUAUCCCUUCUUCCUGGACUGGUAAAACCACUGAGCGAUUAUGUAAACCACUAAACUAUGAAACAAAAUUCUCCUGGCAACAGAGCGUGCUAAGGAAUUGCAGCUUGGCACCCUUAUCCCCUGGAUCUCUCCUGUUCUCCUUUGGCAUCAGAACUGACUGGGCUUGUGCCGCUGUCUUCCCAUGCUCUGAUCCAGAAGGCUUGCCGGUUCUGGUCCAUGCAUUUCAAGAGAUUAAACCCUGUGCCUGGUAAAAGGCCUGAGUUUCUUUCUGCUUCACCUCAUUUGUCGUUUUGUUAAUUAUAUUGACCUCUCAAAGGGAAGCUUCUGCGCACUUUAAACUGUAACCACAAACCAAAGCCUGGCUUUAAAUAUAAAGGUCUAACUCUUCAGGGAGGAAACUCCUGUUUUCCCUAUGCUGAUUUGCAGGGUGUGAACGGAUACUGGGAAAGCACCACGCUGUGUUAACCCUUUCUUUGUGUUUAUUCCCCAAGUCAUGCAGUGACUGUUGUGCGAUAGCUUGUUGGCUUUAUAGAUAUAAGUUCUUAAAGGAACUGUCAAACUGUAGAUCUGUCAAAAAUACCUCAAACCUACCGUCCUCCUUCUUAGGAGAAGUUUCAUGUAUUUGCUUGAAAUCCUUGCUGCUCAUUCAUCACAGAUUGCAAAGGAUGAAGAAAGUAGGAAGAUCUUGCCUGCUGAUACAGAAAAAGGGUGCAGCUGCUUUGGAAGAAUAGCUUUUUGCUAUGCUGUGCUGCCUCCUCUAGAUCAGAUCUCACUUCUUUGAAAUCCCUGGAAACCUCAUGAUAGGCUCUGGAUUGGAUAUGGAGGACUUUAUUGUGAUAACUGGAAUUCUUUGAGCCCUUGCUCCACAUGUGCGUCGUGGCAUUUAUUAUCUUCUGGGCAGGAGUUGCUGAUUAACCUCCAUUUGUCAAGUUCGUAGGAAUGAGGUAAUAAUCUGUAGCAGUUGGCCCCUUCUUCAGCAAAAUGUGUGGCUGGGCAGCCCAGAGGGCAGUUGCUAGGGCCUGUCUGCUCUCCAGAAUAUGGUGGUUGAGAGGUCAGGUUCCUGGACCAACAGUUCGUCUCGUAGUCCAUGCCCAGUUGUCCUUACAGCAUUCACUUGAACUCUGCAAGAGUCCCAACCCUUGCGAGGGUCUUGCAUUCAGGAAUCCACUUUUUUUUCUCUCCUUCCUGUGGUACUACUUGCUGCUUUUAACAAGGCUAAUGGUGAACUUCUUGUGCAUCUAACUAGCCCCUAACCUGAACAACGCUGUAGAGUUGUUUUAUGUUGCGUGCAAUGGUCCAUAUCUAUGGCAUGCUCCGUAAGCCACAGGAGUGUGUGGUAUGUUGGGUUUGGUUUGCUGCCUGCCCUACUGCUAAUAUUGUUGCAAGCUGAUUUUCAAAGGGUAGGAGAAAAUACUUCACUUCUGACCACUACCUAUAGGACCUAGGAGGUGUUUUCUCGUGACUUUCUGGAGGGCUGCGUACCUGCAACACUUGGACCAGAGGAUAAAAGGCAAUCUGCUGUCUGCCAGCACUGGGGUGUCCCUAGCACUCACUGUGUAUUCACCAGUGGUUUGUCCACUUUUAAAAAUGAAUCUAGUAAUUCACUCCUUCCUCUGAGAGAAGAGCUCUCACUUUUGCCAGUGCUGGUGGGAGAAAUACCUGAAGCUCAGUGUGUGUGUUUCCCUUAGGGGUCCGUUUCUGCUAAACACACGCUAGAUGUGGUGGGUGGCAGGGCUGAGUGUUGCCAAAGUUGGAGGGCAUUGCCAACGGUUUUCUUUUUCCAUCUUCUCCUUAAAUCAGUGAGGGAACAGACCACCUCACCUGGCUGCCACAUCAGCUGGGUUGCUCGUGCCAAACACCCUGUGCCUUCACAGUGGGUUCUGGCCUGCCUGCCCUCUGUGUCCCUGUGGUGGCUGCCCCUCUGACUGCAGCAGUGCUUGCUCCCCUCUCCUCUCCCUCCUUCCCCUUGCAUGUACCAGUGGGACAUUGCUCUGGUUCCAGUCUGCAGGCAGCUCCACCAGGACGGUCUCUAACUGCAUCCAUCUCACUGUGUAGAUCCACAUCAGCCCUUCUGUGCAGGGAGGGGAAACCUAGUUCCAAACAGAGGACUUGGAAAUGUAACUUUGAAAUAAAUACCUCUUCCUUCUGGGUUUUCUCUUGCUCUUGAAACCAGCAUCUAAAGCAGCUCUUUGAGCUCAAUGUGUCCUGAGGCUCCACUGCUGUCACUGAGUGGGAGCAGAGCCUUAAACACACAAUGCACGUAGAGAUCCUGUGGAGAUUACUGAUGUCAGAGCAGCAACUAGACCAGCAAUAGCAUACGCAAGUUUUGUAUUUACUCAGCAAUGUCAUUAAGUAGUGUUCACAGUCACUUUAAAAGUUCAGUAUUAAAGUGUUAAUGCCUUUUUUUUUCUUCCCCUUUUUUUCCCCUAAUGUUUUGCUGAAGAAAAUGUAACUAUUUAUUUUAGCAGAAAUAUAACUUCUAAUAAAAACUUUCUCUAUUUAUCUGGCUGUGGUAGGUUGCUUGUCUUGCUAAUUAAAGGCUUAUUAAAUAUUUUUUGAAUGCA
rnacentral:lncRNA from 1 species